AAAAAUUAUAAAUCAAACAUAUGAACAAUAAGCAAACAAGUCAGAUUCUUACCUCAGUCAGUUUUGACACACCAUCAAACCAUAGUACACGUUUUGUUGCUAAAUCCUUGAGAUCUUUGGGAGCCUUUUUGGUGUGAAACAAGAUUAUCUCAAAUGCGAGACUCGUGAUAUGUGAGACGUCGGUGUGAAGACGAGAAUCUGAGGAAAUUAGGAGCAUUGGGCUUGGAUUACGCUCCAAUGCCCUUGAAUGCAUAGCCUUCCCCAAUUCAAUAUCGGGAAAACCUUUGCGGUUUGCAUUGGAUCUCUUCUUGGUCUUCGUAGGCGGUUGUGAGAUAUGAACCUCAACACCGAAUCUUCGAAGCAUAUCGAUGACUCCUCCAUUAAGUGCAUUGGAUUGGACGAAGAGAUCGAAAUCCAAGAUACCCCAAGACAAGUAAGAUCCCAAAAACCUAAUAAAUUAGAGAAAGUACCAGAUUUAUAAACUGGAGAAACUUUAGAACUAAAAUAGAAAUAUUGACAAAAAUUAAGGAUUGAUUAAUUAUCGGGACUAGGAGAUCGGCACGCCUAGGAAUAGGUUGAGAAACUCUUCGACGAGGAGGACUCGGCGGUGGCUGCAGCAUAGAGAUCCUACGUGCGCGUUUGGAUCAAGAAGUAAACAUGUCCCAAGAUUCUCCCAUGACAAAAAGGUUGUGAGACUGCGGAUUUCUUCAGGGAUAGAAUUGUUUCCAACAACCCAGAUCACAAACCCAUAUUGUUCUCGAGAUAGGUUUUGGACCAUUUUAAAGAAGUCCGAGGUUAGGAGCAGAAUGGCAGCAGGAGGGUCAUUCUGAGAGUCUUUGCAUCAUAGUCAAGUCUGAGAAUUCACGAUCAAAUCUUAGAUUAGAGCUCUGUUCACUGAAAUAAGUAUUUAAACAAACUAAGCAGAGACGUUUUUCAAUUCAUAAUUGUGACAAUAAUCAGUUAUCUGCUAAUCGUUAAAACAAAACAAAGGAACCAAGCUCUAUGAUUUUAUUCUUAGAAAGACUUUUACAAGACUCAACUAGAUGACCUAUUCAAGUGGAUCUUAUAACAAAAGAGACUCUUAAUCAAACGUGCAUUGACUACUACAACUUAGGAUGACUUAUUCAGACCAAGCAUAAGCUAAACGACUUAGUUAUAUUCUUCAUAAUAUGCUUUCUUAGUGAUCAACUGAAAUACAACUAUGAUAAUUAUAACGUGGUCUUACCUGGAUAUUUCUUUGGGUAUUCUUGUGAUUCAGUUAUGUUCACGUCUGAUCGAUGAAGACGUUUAAUAAGGGGUUUGUUUUCUGUGAAGAACUUUUUCCGGGCAUAAGCAUACGGACCGGAUGUAGAACCCACAUUGAGCCAUAGUUUGUUUCACAUUGUCAAGAACCGUUUUCAACCUCAAUUCCUUAUGGAUGUGAACAUUUUCUACAUCCCACAAUUCCUUAAGAAAAAGAGUCAAAUUUGAUAUACUGAUCCGAAAACAAUUAACAAAAUUU
rnacentral:sRNA from 1 species